GAAAGUAUUUAUUCAGUCUCCUCCACUGUCUGCAAAAAACAACUCCCUCCUGCUUCAGGCUCUCACCUUUCCCAGAAUGUGGUUGUAGGGGAUGAGGAGGGGCCUGAUUGUCUGGGCCUGGAGGACAGGGAAGCGGUCCCCAGGGACAAGCAGGACCAGGUCCCGGGAGUCCCCUUGUUUGUGCAGAGACAGAAAAAAGAAAAAAGAAAAAAGAGACCCACGCAAACCCGAACUGUUUUCAGGGCUCCUGCCGGCUAAGAGCGGGGCUUGGUGUGCAGGGGGCAGGAGGACCCAAUGUACAGCGGUCCCUAGGCCGAGACAGCUGGGAGUGGGCAGGGGAGGGGGGCGGAAGCCAGAAACUUGCAGUCUUCUGUGAGGCCCGGAGCAGAGCCUGUUCUAAACACAGUUAGGUCCUCACAUUCGGACACAGAGCCGAAGAAUGCAGCAAUGCCCAGCGUUAUGACGGGGGAGGGAGGUAAUGGUCUCAGAGCUCCUGGAAAUCAGCAAGAGGUAAGAGAGAACCCUCCACGCCCCUGGAGCCAGACGUUGAGCCUCCCGAAGGGCAAAAACAAUAUUUCAGGGGCAGGAGUUUCCGGGUGCCUGGCUGUGGCUGGUUCCCGUAGCCUGGGGUGAUGAGGAGACUUCAACCUCAAAGACCCCUCCAGAUUCCUGAGAUGGGGACUCCGGAGGGGGUAGACGCUUCUCGCAGGGGCAGGAUGGAGGUGUGAGCUUGGGUGAUCUAGCAAUGAAAGCAGAGCGAGGCUCGGUGGGGCCACCUCCACCCCGGGUGAUGCCCAUGCCUAGACGUUCCUAGUGGCUUCUCAGUCACUGCCCACAAAGCGAGAAGUGACUGGAGGACUUAGUCUGUGCUGGUACAGAGUCAAAGAUAAAGAAACAGGAGCAAAAGCGAAUGAAAACGGAGCCACAAUACACAACCAGGCCCCAGACUCCUGGGCCGAACUGCGGGACAGAGCCAGGGAGGCAGCAGAAGCUCAGGCCUGCAGCGACUCCAGGGUGCACAAAGACAGGAGCUGGGCGGAGGCUGGAGAGGACUUGGGCCUGGAUUUGAAAUCAUGUUCCUUGGAAUCCGACUUCUCCCUGCUGUCAGGAAAGGCGCUGCCCAGUGGCAUUUGAAACUAUGGAGGAAGAGGGUUUCUAUCGUCACUCUGCUGCUCUUCCCCUAAAGAAGUGAGCACAGGGGAGGCAUCUUUUCCAGUGGACGGGGAAGGGUCACCGCACCCCUACAGGAUCUCCCUUACAGGGAUGACACCAGAGCCGAGAGAGGAUAAGUAACAGGUCCAAGGAACACAGCCAGCAUGUGGACAGCUGUGUACGUGGAGUGACCUCAGAGUCUGCCCGUGGUGCCGCCCAGGGCCUGUCCAAUUGCGUCACGCUGAGAGGCCUCUGCAUCAUUUGCAUUUAAGGCAGAUGGAAUUUGGGGUGGGGCAGAGGGAUUCUUUUGAAAGCCUGGUGGGUUCAGGGCCAUCUGGAGUUCAAAGCUGUCAUGUGCAUCUACCUUAGCAGCCAGUCCCAUUUGGAGUUUCAGGGCUCUGGUUGGCCUAAGAGACCAUCUAAGCUUAGAUUCAGUCUUCUCUGGAGUUCUGCCAUUCUUAAAAUCAGGACCCAAGACAGGUGCACACUGCUGUCUGCCUUCCAGCUGCAGACAUGUGGGUUUCUGCUUUAGGCAGGUGCUCGAUAGUUCUAAACUGGUCAUUUACUUUUAUUAAUACAUUAGUAGCACUCAACGAUAGUCACCAAACCCACAGUUCUUAUACAUAGUUACUGUUUCUCUCUUCAAUUGCCCUAGCUACUCUACCUUUUUGCCUGUAGCUCAUCUGGUUUUCUGCAGGUGAAAAUUUGGCAUCCAGGGACGAUUGAUAAUCUACCUAACAUCAGGGACCCAACUUCAGAAUCACAUCCUUAGAGUUUGCUUUCUAGGGCCAUGAUUUUAGGGUGCAUUCCUUAGAAGCAGAUCAGAGAUGAAAUCUCUUAAGCUGGUUAUUUAUUGCUAGUUCUCUCAGGAGAAGGGUAAAGGGAAGCAACAUAAUAUGGUGGUAUUUCCUUGUCUCCUUUUUGCCUAGUUUUUAUUUCUUCUGUCCUAACUCCAAGUGAUUCAGAAAGUCUUCAGGGAUGGUGGAAUUAGUAGACAACACCCACUGCAUUUGGAGGUGGGAUGACCUGGCCAGAAAAGAUUGUUCCAGGACACCAAGAAUAUCUUCUGCACCAGUCAACUGUUCUCAUCUGUUUCCUGAAUAACAAACACUUCCCUGAUGUUCUUCUCAAAUUCAGCCUCCAGUCUGAGUCCCAUUUGGCUAAACUCAUGGUACUGGAAACAAAAUAAUAAAGACAAAAUAGUGAUGUUGAU